rnacentral:rRNA from 1 species
AACGGCUGCUAAUACCCCAUAGGCCGAAAGGUGAAAAGAGAUUCGCCUUGAGAGGGGCUCGCGUCCGAUUAGCUAGUUGGUGAGGUAAAAGCUUACCAAGGCGACGAUCGGUAGCUGGUCUGAGAGGAUGAGCAGCCACACUGGGACUGAGACACGGCCCAGACUCCUACGGGAGGCAGCAGUGGGGAAUUUUCCGCAAUGGGCGAAAGCCUGACGGAGCAACGCCGCGUGGGGGAAGAAGGCCUUUGGGUUGUAAACUCCUUUUCUCAGGGAAGAAGCACUGACGGUACCUGAGGAAUCAGCCUCGGCUAACUCCGUGCCAGCAGCCGCGGUAAUACGGAGGAGGCAAGCGUUAUCCGGAAUUAUUGGGCGUAAAGCGUUCGUAGGCGGCGUUUCAAGUCUGCUGUCAAAGCCCGAGGCUUAACUUCGGAGAGGCAGUGGAAACUGGAAAGCUAGAGGUCGGUAGGGGCAGAGGGAAUUCCCAGUGUAGCGGUGAAAUGCGUAGAUAUUGGGAAGAACACCGGUGGCGAAAGCGCUCUGCUGGCCGAACCUGACGCUGAGGGACGAAAGCUAGGGGAGCGAAUGGGAUUAGAUACCCCAGUAGUCCUAGCCGUAAACGAUGGAGACUAGGUGUUGCCUGUAUCGACCCGGGC